AGAGUCCAUAGCAGCUGGUUGCUAAGCAAGAAGUUUAAAUUAUCAGGAAUGGUUCAGAUUUUUGUACAAGUUUCAUUGAAAGAAAAGAAAGAACAAUUGAAGAAGUUUAAAUACCUUGUGAACAGGGCUUAAUUUAUCUGUUUGAAUAAGAUUAUAUUAUAGUGAAGCCUUUUUGUGAUGCUUCUCCAUUUGAAGGAUGCUGGCAGCCUGGCUUAUCAUUGAGAGGUCUCCAUCCUUAAUAAUAUUCACUUUCUCUCCAAGGCUUCAUAACAUUUUACUUAGAUAACACUUUAUGCCUAAAUUUAGGAAAUGCUAUAUUGUUGGGUUGCAUUUCUUAAAUACCAGGCGCUUUCAAUUUGCACUUGUGUCUUGGUUGAAGUGUUCUACUCUGGAUGAAGUCUUUAUACAUCUUGCGGACAUGGUUGUGUACAAGGUUGCAUUUGAU
rnacentral:misc_RNA from 1 species